rnacentral:lncRNA from 1 species
CGACGAAGGGAGCGCGGGCGGGGAGCGCGGGCGCGCGCCCGCGUCCGCGCACGGAGAGUCGCCUCGGCCGCUCGCUUUCUCGCCUCCCGCCUCGCGCCUCGAUCCUGUUCCGCCUCCCUCGGCCCUCCUGCCCGCCCCCACUCGUCGGCCCUCAGCUCAGAGACCUAAUAGGAUGGGGUCUUAGAGAAACAUCUGUUGAGCCACAGACUUCUUUGUUACCAGAAGGAAAAUGAAAGAAGAAAUUUAAAUACCACUUGAAGAGAGUUUCCUCAUCAGCAAAGUCAGAAAAAGUAUGUACCUGAAGGACUGAUUGUAAGGCUGGGAUGAGAGAAUCCAUGUGAUCAGCCCUCACCAACAGGUGCUGCCCAGUUCAUGAGUGCUGCUGCUGUCCUGCCCAAGUACCCAGCUUGCAGAGUGCCGGAGUUAGAGUCCCAGGGGUGUUCUCCACAGCUGCAUGCUUGAUCCAGGCCUAUCAGCAUUGUCUUUGAAUAUUAGCAAAUAAUGGAACAUGGGCCAAGGGUGAACCAUGACGAAUUCGUGUUCCAGCAGCCCUGCUUCUUUAGAAUUGACAGUCUGGCUUCGUGGUUAAUUCACAGCAUCUGAGGAAUACAUCAGAAGAGGGUGAUACUGUGGCAUGAUGGUACCAGGAUUCCAAGUUCAUUCCAGAUACCAACAGUUCAUGAUGAUCUUCAGAAAUGUUCACAGUUUCAGAGGAGCCACAUACUUGAAUGUUUAAAGAAAGCAAUAUUUUGCAAAACGCAAGGAUGAUCCAAGAGAGCCACAGGAGGAUCUAGCAGCCCUUUGUCGGGAAAUGAAGCAAACAUGAAGAACUUCCUAAAUGCCCUGCACUCUUUGAGACUCUAAGGACACAGCAGCCAGCAAGAUGGGCAAGAUCCCAGUCCAUGUAGAGCUUAUGUCCUGCUGGAGGAUAAAGGUAAUAGGCCAGAUCAUUGGGUAGAGACUAGAAAUGUACCGAGCAGUGCGCAAAGAAGAUGAGGAGGGUUCUACAGUUUCUCCAGAUACAUACCAUGACAAUUUGUUUUUUUAAAAAAGAAGAAAGCCUGUAGGUAAGUACAGCCGAAAGUAAAGAGGGCCACAGUAGAGGAGGGAACAAUGCCACACAACGUGAACAGCAAGGAGGGAGCAUUCAUUCUGAGCAGAGGGACGUGAGGAGGUGGGGCCUGAGAGGACACAGGAGGUGCUGACCCCCCGAGGCAAGGGAGAUGUGCCUUCUCUGGGAGACAGCAGCUUGGGAUGGUGGUGCGGCAGUUCCCCGGGGAAGACCUGGACCAGGGGCUGGGGGUGGGAGUUGGAGAGGAGAGUGCGGUCUUGGGAGCAGAUUUAAAGUUAAGUGGCCUCCAUGGACCCCACAUGGCCCAGUCAGUUUUGACCCUCCUGGGAGAUCCUGAGUCCUGAGCCUAGGCAGUCUUGUCCUGCCUCUGCUGAGCACCUGGGCCAUGGCAGCCAUCAGGAUGCAGGAAGGUGGGGUCCCGUCCCAGCAGCUGGGAAAGCAUGAAGGAAGUUCAUUUCUCUGCAGCAGCUAUAGUGAUUGUGAGGAGAAGUAACUGAAAAGGUCAGACACACACUUCACUUACACAGCUCAUAAGUCAGUAAAGAAGCAAAGCCUGAGACUUCCUCAGGAGGUGAGUAAAUCCUCUGCCUUGCCAAGGCCUGCAAAGCUAGGCUUGGGGCCGGCCAUCCUAGGGGAGUGGCUUCUCCUGCUCUAGCUCCCAGUGCCCUCUGGCUUGGUUUUCUGAAGAGAGGGCUAGAGGAGCUGUGCCUCUAGAGUUCAAAAGAAAAGUACCUAGGGAGGGAGUAUAGGGUUGCAGUCAAAAGAAUGGGCUCUGGACUCAUAAAAACAUCAGUUCAAAUUCAGACUCACACCACUUAUUUGCUGUGUGAUUUUGGGCCACUCACACAACCUCUCUAAGCUGUCGUUUCCCCUCCAUAUUGUAGGGCUGAUAAUAGUACCCAAACCAUAAGUCAUUGAGAGGAUUCAGUGAAGAUCAUACAAGUAAAAGAGUUAGAUCAAUGCCUAGGUUCCCACUGCAUAUUGGCUGUGGUUGUUAUCUUUAUCAUUUAAAUCAUUUAUUAUUAUUAACGCUUUAAUUGUACAGCCUCCAAAAUGACCCCUGUGAUCCCUUCCUCCUGGUAUUCAUGCCCGCUAUUCAACCAGAAUAGGGUUGAUCUAUGUACUAAUAGGAGAUUGUGGGGACAGCAGAAUGUGACUUCCAAGGCUAGGUCCUGAAAGAUGCUGUGACUUUCGCCUGAGUCUCUUGGGUCACUCGCUCUGGGGGAGGACUGCUGUCAUGUCAUGAGGACACUCAGGCAUCCCCAUGGAAAAGUCUGCAUGGUGAGCACCCGAGACCUCCUACCCACAGCCAGCAUUAACUUACCUGCUCUGUGAGCGAGGCAGCUUGGAGGAAGAUCCCCCCACCCCAGAUAACCCCUAAAUGACAGCAGCUCCCACCAACAUCUUCUCUCCAAGCUCAUGAGGGAGUGUGAGUCAGAACCACCUAGCUAAGCUCGUGAAUUCCUGACCUGCAAAAACCGUGCGAGAUCACAAAUGUUCAUUUUUUUAUUGAAGCCAUUAAGUUUUGGGGUGAUUUGUAAUGCAUCAAUAAUUAAUACAAUUAUUAUACUGAAAAUUUCUCACUAGGAAGUGGCCACUCAUUA